rnacentral:rRNA from 1 species
AGAGUUUGAUCCUGGCUCAGAAUGAACGCUGGCGGCGUGCUUAACACAUGCAAGUCGAACGAGGUGGAAGGGGGCAACUCCUUCCAUCGAGUGGCGGACGGGUGAGUAACACGUGGGUAACCUGCCCGGAAGUGGGGAAUACCUCGGGGAAACUCGAGCUAAUUCCGCAUGACAUCUUCGGGACGAAAGUCCUGACGAUCAAAGCGGGGUCGCAAGACCUCGCGCUACCGGAUGGGCCCGCGCCCGAUUAGCUAGUUGGUGAGGUAACGGCUCACCAAGGCUUCGAUCGGUAACCGGCCUGAGAGGGCGAUCGGUCACACCGGAACUGAGACACGGUCCGGACUCCUACGGGAGGCAGCAGUGGGGAAUCUUGCGCAAUGGGCGAAAGCCUGACGCAGCAACGCCGCGUGGAGGAUGAAGGCCCUUGGGUUGUAAACUCCUGUCGGCUGGGAAGAAAUCAUGCGGUGCUAAUACCACCGUGUGUUGACUGUACCAGCAAAGGAAGCCCCGGCUAACUCUGUGCCAGCAGCCGCGGUAAUACAGAGGGGGCCAGCGUUAUUCGGAAUUAUUGGGCGUAAAGGGCGCGUAGGCGGCCAUGCGUGUCUUCCGUGAAAUCCCUCGGCUUAACUGAGGACGUGCGGAAGAAACUGCAAGGCUCGAGUCUGGGAGAGGGGGGUGGAAUUCCCAGUGUAGCGGUGAAAUGCGUAGAUAUUGGGAGGAACACCGGUGGCGAACGCGGCUCUCCUGGAUCGGUACUGACGCUGAGGCGCGAAAGCGUGGGUAGCAAACGGGAUUAGAUAUCUCGGUAGUCCACGCCGUAAACGAUGGGCACUUGGUGUCGCGGGUAUCGACCUCUGCGGUGCCGAAGCUAACGCAUUAAGUGCUCGUCCUGGGGGAGUACGGGUCGCAAGGCUGAAACUCAUGGGAUUG